ACUGUUAGUACGCGUGCACGUUGGGACAUCCGUGUAACCGUCUCUGUAAGUAAAGAGACUUGACUAAACGCGCAACAUUAGUAUUAUUAUAGCGCGUAGAUGUUCCACGCAGUGGAAACACCGCAGUAUUUUUAAACCGAUUUUCCGAAGAAAUACAUAAAAAAAACCCAAAGAAUUGCCGACAGCCGACAAUCAUUGGAAAACAUAAUAUUAUUAUCUAUUCGUUGUUUAGGGCCAUCGGGAAGAUGGGAACUAAACAUAUAAUAUACAGAGUAUCCUAACAGUGUUAUCCGAAUACUAAUAAUUCUGUCAACAUACUUUGUUUACACUUUUUUUUGAAUUUUGAA